GGGUUAAGUCCCGCAACGAGCGCACCCCUACUUGCUAGUUACCAUCAUUAAGUUGGGGACUCUAGCGAGACUGCCAGUGAUAAACUGGAGGAAGGUGGGGAUGACGUCAAAUCAUCAUGCCCCUUAUGACCUGGGCUACAAACGUGAUACAAUGGCUGGAACAAAGGGAUGCGAAGCAGUGAUGUGGAGCGAAACCCAUAAAAACAGUCUCAGUUCGGAUUGAAGUCUGCAACUCGACUUCAUGAAGUCGGAAUCGCUAGUAAUCGCGGAUCAGAACGCCGCGGUGAAUACGUUCUCGGGGUUU
rnacentral:rRNA from 1 species